AAAAAGGGUCUAUUACGCAGGUCCGGUUCGAGCCACAAGAUGAAAAAUAUCUUGCUACAGCUGUAGAAGAAUUCGUGUCAAUUGUGGAUGUUACUACACAAAAAUUGCUUUCGCAGUUAGAGAGACAUGACACCAAUGUACUAUCUAUUUCCUGGGACACAACUGGGAAGUAUUUAGCAUCUGUCACCGUAGACUCUGUACACGUGUCGACAUAAGGCACAAAAGAUAAAAUCUCCGAGUUAAGUUGCGAUGAUGGAAACAAGUUCUUCUCUUGUGUUUUUCACCCUAUCUCAUUCCCGAACUCUUGAUCAUCGGUGGCUACAAGUCUUUGAAGGUAUGGGACUGGGUUACUGGCAAAAUCAUGUAUAUACCGGCGGCUCACGAAGACCUCAUCACAGCUCUCGGGGACUCGCCUUCAAGGGGAAUAGUUGCGUCUGGUAGCUACGACGACUCCAUAAAAAUUUGGAAGUAAACAAACAGAAUCAAUCUUAUAAGAUCGAUAUUUGAUCAUACAAGCAGUAAACAGUGUACAGUAGAGUACGAACAGUCGAACAUAUAUACUGUGAGGUGUGAGACUAUUGUAUAUAGAAUCCGUAAAUGGUGUGCAUUUUUUUCUCAUUGUUUAAAUUUUCCACAGACACGCAAAAAAUUUAGAGAGUAGGGGAAGGCGGGAAGCUAGCCCCACAAUUACUCCCA